rnacentral:lncRNA from 1 species
UUCGCUACAUUUCCAACACUUAUCAUGAUUACUUUUACUUAUCCUAGGAUUUUUCCUGUUGCCAUCUUGACUGCUUCGACAAUGCCUGGUUCAGUAUUCUAUAAGUAUUCGCCUAACUUUGGUAGUGGGCUUCUUGUAACUGUGUAGCCUUUAAUGUGUAUCUUCCAAUGUUAUGAUUGGUUACCUUGGUAUUUAUUACCUUCGGUAUCUUCAUACCGUCAUAUAUUAUGUUUUGCGAAGAUGGAUCCGUAGCAAAUCCUCGUGGAACUCUUGCGUGUACACUUUUUCUACGAUAACUUGUUGCAUAUGGAAUUUGUUAACUUAUAAGGUACCCUUUUGUUUGCUAAG